UCCCAGACUCCUACGGGAGGCAGCAGUGAGGAAUAUUGGUCAAUGGCCGGAAGGCUGAACCAGCCAUGCCGCGUGAAGGUCAGUGCCCUAUGGGCGUUAAACUUCUUUUGUGCGGGAGCAAUAAUGGUCACGUGUGGCCAGACGAGAGUACCGUACGAAUAAGCAUCGGCUAACUCCGUGCCAGCAGCCGCGGUAAUACGGGGGAUGCAAGCGUUAUCCGGAUUUAUUGGGUUUAAAGGGUGCGUAGGCGGGCUGUUAAGUCAGCGGUCAAAUGUCGGGGCUCAACCCCGGCCUGCCGUUGAAACUGGCGGCCUCGAGUGGGCGAGAAGUAUGCGGAAUGCGUGGUGUAGCGGUGAAAUGCAUAGAUAUCACGCAGAACUCCGAUUGCGAAGGCAGCAUACCGGCGCCCGACUGACGCUGAGGCACGAAAGCGUGGGUAUCGAACAGGAUUAGAUACCCGAGUAU
rnacentral:rRNA from 1 species